UUCCAGACUCCUACGGGAGGCAGCAGUGGGGAAUAUUGCACAAUGGGGGAAACCCUGAUGCAGCGACGCCGCGUGGGCGAGGAAGUACCUCGGUAUGUAAAGCCCUAUCAGCAGGGAAGAAACAGGACAGUACCUGACUAAGAAGCCCCGGCUAACUACGUGCCAGCAGCCGCGGUAAUACGUAGGGGGCAAGCGUUAUCCGGAUUUACUGGGUGUAAAGGGGGCGCAGACGGCGAUGCAAGCCAGGAGUGAAAGCCCGGGGCCCAACCCCGGGACUGCUCUUGGAACUGCGUGGCUGGAGUGCAGGAGGGGCAGGCGGAAUUCCUGGUGUAGCGGUGAAAUGCGUAGAUAUCAGGAGGAACACCGGCGGCGAAGGCGGCCUGCUGGACCGUGACUGACGUUGAGGCUCGAGAGCGUGGGGAGCAAACAGGAUUAGAUACCCGAGUA
rnacentral:rRNA from 1 species